GGCAAGGUGGCCGAGCGGUCUAAGGCGCGCGGUUAAGGUUAAACCUUGAUAAUAAUCUUGAAGACGUUUCUCUGAGACGCUCAGGUUUCCGCGUCAUUAAUUUGGCGUGGGUUCGAAUCCCACCCUUGUCA